rnacentral:rRNA from 1 species
CCCUUAGAUGUUCUGGGCCGCACGCGCGCUACACUGAUGCAUUCAACGAGCCUAUCCUUGACCGACAGGUCCGGGUAAUCUUUGAAUCUGCAUCGUGACGGGGAUAGAUUAUUGCAAUUAUUAAUCUUCAACGAGGAAUGCCUAGUAGGCGCAAGUCAUCAGCUUGCGUCGAUUACGUCCCUGCCCUUUGUACACACCGCCCGUCGCUCCUACCGAUUGAAUGAUCCGAUGAAUAUCAUGGAUUGAGGAUGCAAGUAGGUUAGCCUAUCUUCAUCUUCGAGAAGUGAAGUAAAUCUUAUCAUUUAGAGGAAGGAGAAGUCGUAACA